GGCUGGAAACCGUAGGGAGCAUCUUCUCCCGGACUCGGGACCUGGUUCGGGCCGGGGUGCUGAAGGAGAAGCCCCUGUGGUUUGACGUAUAUGACGCCUUUCCCCCGCUGAGGGAGCCCGUCUUCCAAAGGCCUCGAGUGCGAUAUGGCAAAGCCAAAGCUCCCAUCCAAGACAUCUGGUACCACGAGGAUCGGAUUAGAGCGUGAGUGCUCAGCCCUGUAGUGGACAGGAAGCAACAGAACUUCAGAAGGGAAGGUUUGGGUAGCAGUCUGGGAAUUCAAAUAUGAAAUUGAGUCAGGGGUUUGCCCUGUGGAGAAGGCUUAUCUAGCCAAAUUAGGGAGGCAGCACCCCUUCCUCAUAGUGAAACUGAAGUUCUGAAAAGUGGAAUCUGGAGCCCAGCAACCGAAAGAUCAUUGCAAUUAUAGCCGCAUGUUUCUGGGCAUCUGCUUUGGGCCAGGCACUGUACUAAGCUCUUUGCAAGCAUUAUCUCAUUCUCUAAAGGCCUUACUCUAACUUGUAAGGAAGGUAUUCUUGUUUCCAUUUUAUUCAAGGAGACUGCGAAGCUCAAGGGAAUUAGCUAACUUCUUGUAAUUACUAAAUAUAUAGGAGGGUGGCGGAUCUGGGAAUCACAUCUCUGACUCCAAGCUUAUGGUGAUCAUUAUGCCGGUCUUCUCCAGGAGUGGAGAUAGGAGGAACGUGGUCUGUG
rnacentral:sRNA from 1 species